AUUGAACGCUGGCGGCAGGCUUAACACAUGCAAGUCGAGCGAGCGGCGGACGGGUGAGUAAUGUAUGGGGAUCUGCCCGAUAGAGGGGGAUAACUACUGGAAACGGUGGCUAAUACCGCAUACUAUCAGAUGAACCCAUAUGGGAUUAGCUAGUAGGUGGGGUAAUGGCUCACCUAGGCGACGAUCCCUAGCUGGUCUGAGAGGAUGACCAGCCACACUGGGACUGAGACACGGCCCAGACUCCUACGGGAGGCAGCAGUGGGGAAUAUUGCACAAUGGGCGAAAGUCUGACCGAGCAACGCCGCGUGAGUGAAGAAGGUUUUCGGAUCGUAAAGCACUGUUGUUGAGGAAGCGGUAUCUAAACAGAAAGCAACGGCUAACUACGUGCCAGCAGCCGCGGUAAUAC
rnacentral:rRNA from 1 species